UCCGACUGUUUAACAAAAACAUAACCUUUAGCCAAACAAAUAUUAAAGGCAACGCCUGCCCAGUGAACAAUUAAACGGCCGCGGUACCCUAACCGUGCAAAGGUAGCGCAAUCACUUGUCUAUUAAUUGUAGACCCGUAUGAAAGGCAAAAUGAGGGUCUAACUGUCUCUUAUAAUAAAUCAAUUAAACUGAUCUCUCAGUCCAAAAGCUGGGAUAUUAACAUAAGACCAGAAGACCCUGUGAAGCUUAAACUAAACUAUUAAACCACCUAAUAAAUACUUUCGGUUGGGGCGACCUUGGAAAAAAAAAGAACUUCCAAAGGCUGACAAGCCAAAUAUAUGACCCAGCAAAGCUGAUAAUUGAACCAAGUUACUCCAGGGAUAACAGCGCUAUCUUCCUCAAGAGCCCAUAUCAAAAGGAAGGUUUACGACCUCGAUGUUGGAUCAGGACAUCCUAAUGGUGCAGCAGCUAUUAAGGGUUCGUUUGUUCAACGAUUAACAGUCCYACGUGAUCUGAGUUCAGACCGRAGA
rnacentral:rRNA from 1 species